AUGUUUCAUAAAGGAAAAAAGCACCACAGCAGUAGCAGUUCCCAGAGCAGUGAAAUCAGUACCAAGAACAAGUUGGUAGACUCCAACCUUGGGGGGCUGUCACGGUCCAGCACCGUGGCAAGCCUCAACACCUAUUCCAGCAAGAACACAGGACAAAGCAACAAUUCAGACACCUGUGCAGAACUUCGAAUAAAGUAUGUUGGUACCACUGAGAAACUGAAACUUUUGGAGGGGAAAAGUUCGAAGGACCACUGGACCUGAUAAAUUAUAUAGUUAUUGCCCAGCAAGAUGGAAAGUUGUCCUUUGAUCCUCUGGAGGAAGAAUUUAUUAUGGGAGUUUCCAAGUAUGGUAUAAAGGCAUCCACAUCAGAUCAAUAUGGUGUUCCGCAUCGGCUCGCUCUGUAUUUAAUCAUCUGGAUGGUGUGUUUCCACGAUGGUCUCGAGGCAGGAAAAGAGCUUUCUGGCUCUGAAGACCACAUAUGCAAGCAACCAAGAAUACAGUCUGUGGGUUUACCAGUGCAACAGCCUGGAACAAGCACAAGUAAUCUGCAAAGUUUUACCAACUGCUUUCGACUCUGUAUUGACAUCUGAGAAAACUUGA
rnacentral:lncRNA from 1 species